GGGGUACGCAAUAGAAUUACCUCCACGUGGUGCACCCUGGGCAACGUAUACUUAUACGGCAUAAAAGUCUAU
rnacentral:ribozyme from 1 species